UUAAUUGAAGCCAAAAUAGAGGCAUAUUACUGUUAAUGAUAUAACUGAAAUUAAUUUCCAAUUAAA
rnacentral:tRNA from 1 species